GAAAUGCGAUAAGUAAUGUGAAUUGCAGAAUUCAGUGAAUCAUCGAAUCUUUGAACGCACCUUGCGCUCCUUGGUAUUCCUUGGAGCAUGCCUGUUUGAGUAUCAUGAAAUCUUCAAAGUAAAUCUUUUGUUAACUCAAUUGGUUUCUACUUUGGUAUUGGAGGUCUUUGCAGCUUCACACCUGCUCCUCUUUGUUCAUUAGCUGGAUCUCAGUGUUAUGCUUGGUUCCACUCGGCGUGAUAAGUUAUCUAUCGCUGAGGACACUGUAAAAGGUGGCCAAGGUAAAUGCAGAUGAACCGCUUCUAAAAGUCAAUUGACUUGGACAAUACUUUUAUGAUCUGAUCUCAAAUCAGGUAGGACUACCCGCUGAACUUAAGC
rnacentral:misc_RNA from 1 species